rnacentral:rRNA from 1 species
AUUGAACGCUGGCGGCAGGCCUAACACAUGCAAGUCGAGCGAGCGGCGGACGGGUGAGUAAUGUCUGGGAACCUGCCUGAUGGAGGGGGAUAAAUACUGGAAACGGUGGCUAAUACCGCCUACCAUGAGAAGUGCCCAGAUGGGAUUAGCUAGUAGGUGGGGUAACGGCUCACCUAGGCGACGAUCCCUAGCUGGUCUGAGAGGAUGACCAGCCACACUGGAACUGAGACACGUUCCAGACUCCGACGGGAGGCAGCAGGGGGGAAUAUUGCACAAUGGGCGCAAGCCUGAUGCAGCCAUGCCGCGUGUGUGAAGAAGGCCUUCGGGUUGUAAAGCACUGUCAGCGGGGAGGCGUUACCCGCAGAAGAAGCACCGGCUAACUCCGUGCCAGCAGCCGCGGUAAUUC